rnacentral:snRNA from 1 species
AGCUUUGCGCAGUGGCAAUGAGGUUUAUCCGAGGCGCGAUUAUUGCUAAUUGAAAACUUCUCCCAAUACCUAAGCUUGUGAGUAGUGCAAGUUGACAUUCAUUCAAAGGG